UUUUCCCAUAGAGGAUUUUAGAAAUACUUAAGGUCUGUCUUUCAUGAAGGCUUACCCUGGCAUGAUGUUUUGAUAACCAUGAGAAGAGAUCAACAUCCGACGAGCUUCUCCUUCACGUCUCUAUGGAUUAAAAUGACAAUUUUUCUCUCGGACAAGGACAAUAUACUCGGCUCUAUUUACUCUCAGAUUAGAACAUGCUAAUUAGCAUCAAAGUAGACAUCAUGCAAAACUAGAAAUCCCUGAAAGCUCCUGCAUGUAAUUUCUAGCUGACACCUUUGCUAACAGUUGCAGACGCCUAUGCGGACAGGAGUGACAUUGGGAGACAGAUUCCAUUUCGAGAUAGCCAAUGUAUCUCCCUGAGUCUGGUGAGAGAGACUACUGACUGUGUAGCUGCUCCAUCAGUAUUGUCUUGUCUGAGCAGCACCUGUUGCCAUGGGUGAGGAGGCAAGCUGGGAGGGGCCAGGAAAUGUAGAGACAUUUCCAUUUCCUGGGUGGGGCAUGUAGGAAUUUGUCACAAUUAGUUGAUUAAUAAUCAACUCUAGAGCCAGACCCUUCUCUAUGCUAGGAAGAGGGAGCUAUUUCAUGUAUGGUGGGGAACAUUCACAUAUCAUUCUGAGGAGAUGUUACUGAUGGCUUUGCUGUAAACAGCAUGAUAUUCAUCCAUUAGCAGGUCUUCACAAUAAGCACUCUCCACACUCUCACUCCUUCUCUCUGGCAUGUCAUACUGUCACCGGGACCGGUAUUGUUGUCAGUACUCAAGCUGAAAAACUGACUCUCUGAUCUACUUGCCACAUUGGUAUGAGGAGAGGCAGAGAGAGAGUUUAGAACUUCAGUACAGAGCAACAGUUUGAUUCCAGCUCUGUGUAGUUAAUCAACUCUCCCAUUAGUCUUGAGAAGGCCAGAUACAGCUCAGAAAACCCAGGAAGGUUCUCACUGGAGCGUGGCAUUGGCCCGCAGAAACACAGAUUGCCUCUGGCUGAGCUGUACAUGGCUGGUGAAGAAACACUUCGCUAAGGUUUCUUUUUUUGCUAACAUUCCCGGGAGAUAGUGUUGUUAUUAGAAAACCUUUGUAAAUCUACGAAGUAGAAAAUAAAGUUUGCAUUUCAAGGCCAAUAGUAGCAUGACAUGGUUUGGUACAAAUGUUGAUGUUGCACAGUGCUCUGGGAGAGAUGUCAGUGGAAGCACUGAGACCCAUCUGUUAGUUUCUCCCUCAGCCUCCCUGGCCUGUACUGUACUGGAGGUUCAGAGUCAUUCAGCUGGAAACAUCAACACCUUGAGCAAAGGUUGAUUAAAAGAGGAUUAGCUAGCAACACAGUGGAUUGCACAUUCAUAUUUUUCCCAGAAAGCACUCUCCCUGGCCUCCAGAGUGGCACAGCGUUCUAAGGCACCGCAUCACAGUGUUUCGGCAUCACUACAGCCUGGGGUUCGAUCCCAGGCUGUGUCACAACUGGCCGUGACCGGGAGUCCCAUAGGUGGCACACGAGGGGGUUGGCCGGGGGGGCUUUACUUGGCUCAUUGCACUCUAGCGACUCCUUGUGGCGGGCCGGGCGCCUGCAGGCUGACUUAUGGUCGUCAGUUGAACCAUGUUUCCUCCGACACGUUUGUGCAGCUGGCUUCCGGGUUAAGCCAGGGGGUGUUAAGUAGCGUGGCUUGGCGGGUCAUGUUUCGGAGGAAGCAUGACUCAACCUUCGCCUCUCCCAAGCCCGUUGGGGAGUUGCAGCGAUGAGGCAAGAUCGUAAUCAUGAAAUUGGAGAGAAAAAGGGAGUGAAAAAAUAAAGCACUCUCCCUACAGCAGUAAUGCCACAGUUGUUCAGCUUCCCUUCAAAUUACAUGGCUUAAUUUAUUAUAUUGGGAGAUUAUGGUUCAGUUAGUUUGGCUUAGAGGCCAACAUAGACUGCAAACAUUUGAGACCUCUUAUAUUUAUAAAGGACUUCAGACUCCUUAUCUCUUAUUCCAUCAGUGCACAGAAGCUUUGCACUUGGGAUUUGAACUUGCACUAGCCCUGUCAGCAAGCUAUCUCUGAACCUAUACAUAUUUUGCCAUAGAUCAUGUUUGGUA